GAUGAACGCUGGCGGCGUGCCUAAUACAUGCAAGUCGAGCGAACAGACGAGGAGCUUGCUCCUCUGACGUUAGCGGCGGACGGGUGAGUAACACGUGGAUAACCUACCUAUAAGACUGGGAUAACUUCGGGAAACCGGAGCUAAUACCGGAUAAUAUAUUGAACCGCAUGGUUCAAUAGUGAAAGACGGUUUUGCUGUCACUUAUAGAUGGAUCCGCGCCGCAUUAGCUAGUUGGUAAGGUAACGGCUUACCAAGGCAACGAUGCGUAGCCGACCUGAGAGGGUGGUCGGCCACACUGGAACUGAGACACGGUCCAGACUCCUACGGGAGGCAGCAGUAGGGAAUCUGCCGCAAUGGGCGAAAGCCUGACGGAGCAACGCCGCGUGAGUGAUGAAGGUCUUCGGAUCGUAAAACUCUGUUAUUAGGGAAGAACAAAUGUGUAAGUAACUAUGCACGUCUUGACGGUACCUAAUCAGAAAGCCACGGCUAACUACGG
rnacentral:rRNA from 1 species